rnacentral:antisense_RNA from 1 species
GCGCCUCAUUCUCUCCCGUGCCCCUUCUCCCAGCUGGGUCUGAGCCCCCACCCCCCGGCUUCUCCAUUCUGCUUCUCCCAGCUUCUCUCUCCAUCUCCCCCGAUGGCCUCUCUGCCUCAACUUCCAGGUCUCUGCUGGUCCCUAGGAAGCACUUUGACCUCUGCUUCCCCUUCAAAUGCUGUGGAUCAAGCCUCCCCAACCCCACCAUCCCACCAAAGGGGGCUGCUGACCGAGAGAGCUCACUCAGCCAGCUGCUCCCUCUACCUGGAAACCUCCAUUUGUCAAGCUGCUGCUGUCUUCAAGAUCUUCCUGAUCAGAAUCUCCUGCUGUCCUCUUCUGCCACCCACAGCAACGUGAGCCUUCACUGGCUGGCCUUCCCUACUCACUGGAGCAGAGCUACCAGCGUCAGAAUGCCCUGGACCAGCGGUUAGAAACACAGAUUCCUGAGUCUACACUUGAAGAUUUUUUUCUUUCUUUCUUCUUUUUUUUCCAAUUUUUUUAAUUUUAGAGAUGGGGUCUCACCAUGUUGCCCAGGCUGGUCUCAAGUUCCUGGGCUCAGGUCGUCAUCCCACCUAGGCCUUCUAAAGUGUUAGGAUUACAGGCGUGAGCCCUGAACCUUGUAACAUGAACAUUUAUUAGUUAUAUCUGGAAA